ensembl:snRNA U6 U6 spliceosomal RNA
GUGCUCGCUUCGGCAGCACAUAUACUAAAAUUGGAACGAUACAGAGAAGAUUAGCAUGGCCCCUGCGCAAGGAUGAAAAUAAAUAAAUAAAUAAAUAAAAAAACAAA